CCCCUUCCUUUUUCGUGAAAACCCUAGCCGUCGAAACCAGCAGCCGCCUUUGAGUCCGCCGCAAGCCAUCCGUACCUCUAGCUAGACGUCAGUUCCGCUAUCCUAGUUGCUCGUGGAACGCUUCAAUCGCUCAGUGUUUGUAGUCUGAAGCAGUCGCUCGCCGUCCAGCAUCUCUGGUCAGUCGCAUUCGUGGUGCAACCCUUUCACCGCACCAUUGUCGAUUCCAAUCGCCAGCAUCCGUCGUUCUUCAUGUCGAGCACGGGUUUGAAGGCCAGACACCUUUGUUCGAUGAGCCGUUGCCACAAGUCCCAGGUCAGCCGUAGUUAGUCGACUCGAUCGGAGUUGCGCCGCGUCGUCGUUUCUGUGCGGGUCCAGUCCGUUUUCACAGCCGUUGUUGUCUUGGUCGUUGGUUUUGGAUAGAUUGAUUGGUUGAGGGAAAUUGCUUCAAGUUGCUAUUGGAGAUUGGGUCGUUCUAAGUUGCCGUCAAGCAAGGAUUGUGAGCAAUUGAUGAGUUUAAUUGGAUUCUUAACACCCUUUGAUUCGGCGUGUAUCUACAGUCAAUUUCGUGUCUGAAGCUCGACUGUAGUUCGACUUGAGCAAACACUUCGAGGUUCGAUUCAAGAUUCUUUUAAGCAAGGAAGGAGAUAAAUUUGUUUCGAUUGAGCUCAAACUCUAAGGUAAGUAAUCUUACUACUGGAACUACUUUUAUGUCAGGUGAUACACUUAACAUUGAGGAUCCUGCAGCAGUUUUUCUUUGAUUAAUUUGGAUUGUUUUGUGGUUGGAUGGACUGCUUAAAGGAUAUAUGAGCACGUGGUAAUAUAUCGGAAUGUGCUUACUUAUGAGCUUGAUAACUUGUAGAAACACAAGUUAUUUAUGCCAUCUUAUCUAGAUAUUGCAGCCAAAAUUUCGUAAUUAUGCAUCAAGUGUAUGAAAAUUAACUUAGUAUGACAACAAUUAUAAAUGUUUGCAAUUACACCCACUAAUGCCAAAAGGAUGGAGGACAAGCCAAACUUUACUCUGUUUUGUAGGAGACCAAGUCACCGCUUGCGCUCAAGGCUCAUGAGAAACUAAUCAACGCAUCUCUAUCACAUUGCGCCCGUUGUUCAACCUUGAAGAGACAAUUAUCGAAGUAACGGUGCAAUGCGAUAGUCAGUCUAGAGUUGUGCUACGACCGCAUGCGGUAAUAAAAACAAACACCGCAUGCGAACCUAUGAUCGAAAGAUGCAACCGAGCAAUGCGAAAGCGGAGGAUUAAGACACGUGUACAACUAACGGUUAUGCAGAAUUGGUGGUCUGAUUGCAUAACAGAAGGAAUAAUAUCCCUCCAUCUGCAGAAUUACUAUAACCAUCAAGUGGGGACUACAUGGCCAAAGUCAAAGGAUCUGCUCCUAUAAAUACCCCAGCGAAUUCAGAUAAAAUUAUGCUAUUUGAUACUAGGCUUAGUGCUCUAAGAUUUUAGAGAGAAAAAGGCUGAGCUGAGUGCUGAAAAGAAGGAAUCCAGGAAGAGAAAGAGAUAAUGUCGAGCGGUAAAUCUCAGAUUCGACCAGCUGUAUACCCAAUCGAAGCUCUGUGCAGAGACCCCUACUACCAGUGGAGCAAGCCUAAAAGGGAAGCUCUUCCUUCCAUCAAAACCAUCAUAUCGGUAAGCAGAUCUCCAUUGAAUCUGUGCCAAAACAUUGACACCUGAUUGUAUCUGUUCUUUCUCCCUUUCAUUGUAUUCCAUGUUUUCUUUAUCUCUACAUUCACACAUCAUGUAUCAAAUACUUAGUAGAAAUAUUAAAUGUUUCGAUAGAUUUCAUUUACCAUUCUCUGUCUAUUUUCGU